GACCUAUUAGCUCAGUUGGUUAGAGCGUCGUGCUAAUAACUCGAAGGUCCUAGGUUUGAAACCCACAUGGGCCA